rnacentral:rRNA from 1 species
GACAGAGGGUGCAAACGUUGUUCGGAAUUACUGGGCUUAAAGGGUUUGUAGGCGGCCUUGUAAGUGGGGUGUGAAAUCCCUCGGCUCAACCGAGGAAUAGCGCUCCAAACUACAUGGCUUGAGGGAGACAGGGGUAAGCGGAACUGAUGGUGGAGCGGUGAAAUGCGUUGAUAUCAUCAGGAACACCGGUGGCGAAAGCGGCUUACUGGGUCUCUUCUGACGCUGAGAAACGAAAGCUAGGGUAGCGAACGGG